GGAAUAAUGACAAGAGAAGAAAGUCUGUACAUGUCCAGUACAGAUACAAUUUUUUUCUCAAAUAUUUUUGAUCUACAGUUGGUUGAACUGUGGGGUUUACUUGGGUUUGUCAAGGAAAGGGAGGACUGAGGGGGCUGUGAAAGGAAGUGUGGAGGUGGGGAAAGAGGAGAUUCACAGGGCUCAGUUGCAAUCAUGGAAUACAGUGAAGUGCUGAGAAUGAGCUUCCCUCGCUCAUUUUCUUCCCUUAUGGGACGGGAAAGGUCCGGGCAAGGAGAUUUUAGGAAUCCCAGAAGCUUUAAUGUUUACUGUAUUUUUAAGGCCUAGAAUUUAAACAGUAUUAUAAUCUGUAAGAUUUAGAGAUAUGUUUCAGUUGUUCCCAAAUGCUGGGGCUCAUGAUCUAACACAAGGUUCGUGAUGAAGGUUUCCUAGGCUCAUGCUGUUCCUAACAGACGAGUCCCUCCAAGCUGAGUCAGGAGAGGCCUCUUCUGUGAAACCCUCAGUCAUCAGACACCCGAGUGUAGCCUCAGGGUUUUCCCAAGUCUUGCCAGACACAGGUGGAAAAUCAUCUGGAGGUCGGGUGACUAUGUUCUUCUGUUAAUCCAGAAUACUGAAAUUUGAAUAAAAUAGCAAUGUUGUUUCUUAAUAAUGUAAUAAAUACCCCUGAAACUAACAUCUAUUCAAGAAUAUGAUUGUUCCUAAUAAUUUGUGGCCCUCUGGUAUCCUGUUUGCCAGCUUUUCCCAUCUUACCCCAGAAGUAACUAUUAAUACUCUUUGCAUUUUCUGUUCAUGGUUUUAUUUUAUUGAAAUGCUUUCAUUUAUCAAUAUAUGCAUAUACAAUUGGGUGUUUUAAGCCAUGAUUAUAAUAAACCAAAGUACAAACAAUUAGGGCAUUUAAAUUCCAUUUUCUAUUGAUCAAAUUACAAACAAUGCAUUAUUGAUAAAUGUUGUCUUGUAAUAUUUCUGUGCAUUAGAAUAAAACUUAAAUUUAUUUAAAAAAACAUGUUGGCAUAAGGUAGCCAUUUGUUCUCCUUGGGAAAACCUUAACCCUUUCAUUUUUAGACUCUCACUUUUUAUGAAGUAACGAAGCAAAUGGUAACUUGUAUGAAGAAAGUGGUGAGGUGGAUGGUAGGGAAUGAGGCAGAAAGUUGGCAGAGCUACCUGCUACCUUGGUAUGAUCAGUAGUCAAGAGGCACUGAUGAUGUUACUCGCUUGUGUUAAUAAUAAUUCAAUUUGUAAUCUUUUUUUCCCUUAUGUUUUUAUGUAUUACUACAGCUAAAGAAGUAAACAGCUCAUGGCACAUUUAACAAAAAGAUGACAGGCGGAUACAAAAGCUAUCCAGCAUCUUUGGGCAGCCAUUGAGAUUAUACGGAACCAGAAGCAAAUUGCCAACAUUGACCGUAUUACCAAAUUUCCAAUCAAGAUGUAAAGGGUGAAGAAUCAAAGAACAAAGAAUCAGUAACAAGUGAAAUUUAAGCCUUCAGUCAUGCAGAUUCCUAAUAUGAUUCAUAACUCAUUGUCAUGUUAUUUCUCUAAAUGCCAUGUAUAGUUUAAUGUCCAAUAAAAUCAAGUUACAUAUAUCA